CAGUAGCCGCGGUAAUACGGAGGGUGCAAGCGUUAAUCGGAAUUACUGGGCGUAAAGCGCACGCAGGCGGUCUGUCAAGUCAGAUGUGAAAUCCCCGGGCUUAACCUGGGAACUGCAUUUGAAACUGGCAGGCUAGAGUCUUGUAGAGGGGGGUAGAAUUCCAGGUGUAGCGGUGAAAUGCGUAGAGAUCUGGAGGAAUACCGAUGGCGAAGGCAGCCAUCUGGCCUAAUACUGACGCUGAGGUACGAAAGCAUGGGGAGCAAACAGGAUUAGAUACCCGAGUAGUCCCUGUCUCUUAUAC
rnacentral:rRNA from 1 species